rnacentral:misc_RNA from 1 species
CAGCUUAGGCCAAAGUGGCGCACAACCUGUUAUGCAAUGCAGCAUGCAUCUGCCAUUUUGUAUUUAUAUACACUGUGCCAUUUUGCACCCAUUUUGAAGUGAAGUUACUUCGAUUACUUCGGAGGGUGUGGACGUGGAGUUGGUGUCAGUGUGGAGGUUAUGUUGAUGUUGCAGGUUGGCGUCAGUCUCCACUAUCCAAUCACAGAUGGAUACCAAACGAGGGCGCAUAGCUGGAUCAUAUGGGAAGAGGAUGCUGCUUGCUGCUCUCCACUCCCGUGGCAGACAUAAAGGCGCGCAGCGUCACUCACGUAAAAAUGGACGAGAGCGAUAUGUAAAGUGGUCUGUGCCCGAAGUGCAGAGACUGCGGGCGAUACUGAAAGCCCGCGGUGGGCGGGUACCCAGUAUGGAUGACCUCAGAGACCUGUACAAGAGGGAGCCGUUCAACGGCCAUAAUCUGAAUGACAUAAGAUGCAAGAUGUACAAACUUAAACAGAAGGCAGAGUGAGCUGCUGGAGCGGCCGGGCCGGGCUGUUCUGGGUUGGUCCGGACGGGACUUGGGGACCGGCGCCGCCCGCGGCGUCAAAUACAGGUGUCUGCCCGCGCCCCGAUGCCGCACGCGGCGACAAUACAUGUGUCUGCCCGCGCCC